UUUUCAACCACCUUGAUAGGUCUUGCAUUAAUAGGGAGUGUGUUUCCAUGCCACAUCCUGGGAAUUCAACUCUCAAGCUCUUCCUCUCCAGGUCUUGAACAGUUUCUUCUGGUCAGUUACUUCCUAAAUACAGAGGAGAUUUUUCCUCUUUAAACUCCCAUAAUAUGCAGGUUCAGCACACCAACAGUUCCCAAGUUCCCAAUUUCAACUGGAUCAAUUUUCUCUCCCCUUUCUAGAGAAUAUAAGGCAUUAACUCACCCACUUCAAUUUAUAUCAAUAUUCAAACUAAAUAUGCUGCUGGUCAUUGACCGGUAAUAUUGUUUUGACAGACACCCAUGUGUCGUGAUAACUCGAGAAGGUGAAGUAGGAUUUUGAAAUUGAUACCAAGGGUGUAUCUACUUAGAUGCUGCGGGGUAGCAGUAGCAGCCACCAAUAGUUUUGGCUUUUUUUUUUUUUUUUCAUUAUCUUGGGCUCCCAGUAAUCAUGUAAUAUGAUGAUGAUAAUCUGUGAGCUGACAUUAAAAUAUCCAGUCUUCCUUUUAACUUAAACCAAAAGAGAGAAAAACUAAAGAGAUGCCAGUUAUGUUCAGUUCUGACUGCACCCUGUCAUCCAUAUUUAAAAACUUGUACACAAAACCAUGUGUUACACCCCGGCCUAGGCAACCGGGGUGCAACGUAGAAAAACAAAGAUAAGGAAAAUAAAACCACGAAGGCUCUCCACCAAAAUCCCAAAACGAAAAUAUCCCAUGACGAAAGUAUUAACAAACCCAUUCACAACUAUUUACAACAGACUAUUUAUUUACAACAAAACACCAAACUAUUUACAACACGGGGGAGAUCGCGACCAUGACACACUGAAACACAGGGUUUAAAUACCUAGAGGGAGCAAUCAGGAAAAUGGACAACAAGAGGGAAACACAGCUGGGGCAAAUUAGAACUGACGAGACAGGGAAAAUGUAAACUGAAAACACACUAAGAUAACACAGACUUUCAAAGUAAAGCAGGAAAUACAUAAGUCAUGCAAAAACAAAACACUGACACACCGAAACGUAACAUUUCCCCCUACCCAAAAAUCAAACAUGUAACCCCAAGUGAAAAGUUUGAUUCAGACAAACGAAGGCUGAAACGAAGGCAGACGAAGCUGAUGGAGGCUGGAGCGGUCCCACUGACCCUCCAGCAGACGACGAAGGCUGGAGCGGUCCCUCGGACCCUCCAGCGAAGGCGGAUGAAGGCAGACGAAGCUGAUGGAGGCUGGAGCGGUCCCACGGACCCUCCAGCAGACGACGAAGGCUGGUGCGGUCCCCCGGACCCUCCAGCAGAGGCGGAUGAAGGCUGGAGCGGUCCCUCGGACGCUCCAGCGAAGGCGGAUGAGCAGCUCACUAGCUGCACACACGGACACGCAGCCCACCAGCUGCACACACGGACACGCAGCCCACCAGCUGCACACACGGACACGCAGCCCACCAGCUGCACACACGGACACGCAGCCCACCAGCUGCAGAAGGCUGGAGCGGUCCCUCGGAUCCUCCAGCGAAGGCGGAUGAAGGCUGGAGCGGUCCCUCGGAUCCUCCAGCGAAGACAGACGGAGACUGAAGCGGUCCUCGGACCCUCCAGCGAAGACAGAAGGCCGAAGCUGUCCCUCCUUCGGACCCUCCAGCGAUCCCGGACGAGCCCCCAUAUGUUACACCCCGGCCUAGGCAACCGGGGUGCAACGUAGAAAAACAAAGAUAAGGA
ensembl:lncRNA